rnacentral:rRNA from 1 species
CUUUAAUGGAGAGUUUGAUCCUGGCUCAGGACGAACGCUGGCGGCGUGCCUAAUACAUGCAAGUCGAGCGGGGUUAGUUAGAAGCUUGCUUCUAAUUGACCUAGCGGCGGACGGGUGAGUAACACGUAGGCAACCUGCCCACAAGACAGGGAUAACUACCGGAAACGGUAGCUAAUACCCGAUACAUCCUUUUCCUGCAUGGGAGAAGGAGGAAAGGCGGAGCAAUCUGUCACUUGUGGAUGGGCCUGCGGCGCAU